rnacentral:rRNA from 1 species
AGAGUGAACGCUGGCGGUAGGCCUAACACAUGCAAGUCGAACGGCAGCACAGUGGUAGCAAUACCAUGGGUGGCGAGUGGCGGACGGGUGAGGAAUACAUCGGAAUCUACCUUUUCGUGGGGGAUAACGUAGGGAAACUUACGCUAAUACCGCAUACGCCCUUCGGGGGAAAGCCGGGGAUCGCAAGACCUGGCGCGGAUAGAUGAGCCGAUGUCGGAUUAGCUAGUUGGUGAGGUAAUGGCUCACCAAGGCGACGAUCCGUAGCUGGUCUGAGAGGAUGAUCAGCCACACUGGAACUGAGACACGGUCCAGACUCCGUACGGGAGCAGCAGGUGGGGAAUUAGUU